AUUGAACGCUGGCGGCAGGCCUAACACAUGCAAGUCGAGCGAGCGGCGGACGGGUGAGUAAUGUAUGGGGACUGCCCGAUAGAGGGGGAUAACUAAUGGAAACGGUGGCUAAUACCGCAUACUAUCGGAUAACCCAUAUGGGAUUAGCUAUUAGGUGGGGUAAAGGCUCACCUAUGCGACGAUCUCUAGCUGGUCUGAGAGGAUGAUCACGCGCAAUGGGACGGAGAAACGGCCCAGACUCCUAGGGAGGCAGCAGUGGGGAAUAUUGCACAAAGGGCGCAAGCCUGAUGCAGCCAUGCCGCGUGUAUGAAGAAGGCCUUAGGGUUGAAAAGUACUUUCAGCGGGGAGGCGUUACCCGCAGAAGAAGCACCGGCUAACUCCGUGCCAGCCGCCGCGGUAAUAC
rnacentral:rRNA from 1 species